GCGGGUUUACGACCUCGAUGUUGGAUCAGGGUAUCCCAGUGGUGCAGCCGCUACUAAAGGUUCGUUUGUUCAACGAUUAAAACCCUACGUGAUCUGAGUUCAGACCGGAGUAAUCCAGGUCAGUUUCUAUCUAUAAAGAGCUUUUUCUAGUACGAAAGGACCGAAAAAACAUGGCCUAUGCACCAUGCAAGCCAUACUUAAUAAUUUAUGACCCAAACUUAAUAAAUAUUUAACCUAUUAAAAAACUCUAAACAAGAGCAGUU
rnacentral:rRNA from 1 species